AUUGAACGCUGGCGGCAGGCCUAACACAUGCAAGUCGAGCGCGAAAAUUCCUUCGGGGAUGAGUAGAGCGGCGGACGGGUGAGUAAUGCGCAGAAAUCUGCCCAGUAGUGGGGGACAACCUGGUGAAAACCAGGCUAAUACCGCAUACGCCCUACGGGGAAAGCAGGGGAUCUUCGGACCUUGCGCUAUUGGAUGAGUCUGCGUCGGAUUAGCUUGUUGGUGAGGUAAUGGCUCACCAAGGCGACGAUCCGUAGCUGGUCUGAGAGGAUGAUCAGCCACACUGGGACUGAGACACGGCCCAGACUCCUACGGGAGGCAGCAGUGGGGAAUAUUGGACAAUGGGCGAAAGCCUGAUCCAGCCAUGCCGCGUGUGUGAAGAAGGCUCUAGGGUUGUAAAGCACUUUCAGUGGGAAGAAAGCUGUUAGCUAAUAACUGACGAGUGUGACAUUACCCACAGAAGAAGCACCGGCUAACUCCG
rnacentral:rRNA from 1 species